rnacentral:rRNA from 1 species
GAGCGAACGCUGGCGGCAGGCUUAACACAUGCAAGUCGAGCGGGCACUUCGGUGUCAGCGGCAGACGGGUGAGUAACACGUGGGAACGUACCCUUCGGUUCGGAAUAACGCUGGGAAACUAGCGCUAAUACCGGAUACGCCCUUUUGGGGAAAGGUUUACUGCCGAAGGAUCGGCCCGCGUCUGAUUAGCUAGUUGGUGGGGUAAUGGCCUACCAAGGCGACGAUCAGUAGCUGGUCUGAGAGGAUGAUCAGCCACACUGGGACUGAGACACGGCCCAGACUCCUACGGGAGGCAGCAGUGGGGAAUAUUGGACAAUGGGCGCAAGCCUGAUCCAGCCAUGCCGCGUGAGUGAUGAAGGCCUUAGGGUUGUAAAGCUCUUUUGUCCGGGACGAUAAUGACGGUACCGGAAGAAUAAGCCCCGGCUAACUUCGUG